CCUCCACCCUCACCACUACCCACCCAGCGCUUGUCCUCCCUUCCUGGUGGUGUAUAUAAAGCUUGACACAACUGCGAAACCAAGUCACUGGGUUCUGCGCACUGCUUGAACUACCUUCCUGGCUCUCGUUGGAUAGACAGUGAUUUUGUCUGUCCAAGUGAUACCGUGCAUCAUCGCAGGUCAAGAGUUGUGAAAUCAGUAUCGCAAGAGGUGUGAAAUAGCGCAAGAAUUUGUUCAUCCCUAUCUGAAGAAUUUGUUCGUCCCUAUCUGAAGAAUUUGUUCAUCCAUAUCGCAAAGAAGUUGUUCCUCCAUAUCGCAAGGAAUUUGUGUAAUUAAUAUCACAAUUUUGCGAUCGGGUCACAAGAAUUCUAGACACAAUAACCGACAUUCGUGCGCAGUCAGCAUCGCAAGAAACUGACUCAUAAUUAACAAGACAAUUUGCAGUCAGAACAUCUUCGCGAGCGCCGUCGAGAUGCCUUGCUACGACAACUACAGCUCGGUCGAAGUGGCGUCCUUGUGCACGACGGGGUACGGUCUGGACGCUUCCUCUCUCAUCAUCCUGACGUUCCCGCCCUACAGCGCCGGCCACGUUAGGCGCUACGAGUCCUUCUCUCCUCCCAACGCCACGCGAGGAUCCAAGAAACCAUCCUCCUCUCUCUCCUCUUCGCCUUCUCCUUCAUUCUCCUCCGACUCUUGCUCCUCCUCUUGUUCGUCCUCGACCGUCCCCCUUCCUAUUCUCCCUCCAUGUCCUCCUCGAGCUCGACCUCGACCCUCUGCCUCUCCGACGACGGCGCAAACAACCGGAAAUGGUGGAAGAACGUGAGGAAAAUUGGCAAUUACCCGAAGACGGUCGUUCGCAAAAUCAAGAAACGUUUCCAGUAACGUUUUUGAACGCAAGGUCGACGCAGACGUGGAGGUCCGUUGUCCGAUCACAGGAGGAAGGAUGUACGAGAAUGGGGAGAAAGGAGAGGUGAUGAAAAACGGGGGAAUAAAGAAGGAAAAUAAGAAAAGAGGACGGAAAACAUUUAGCUUGGGAAGGAAAUGCUUGGCUUAUGUAACUGUAUGCUGACCAAGUUCGAUGACGAUGAUAAUCUGAACGGCAACAAAAGAUACACAGAAUAAAGAAGAUAAAGGGAAAACGGGCAAACACGAUGACGUCAGCGAUAUGACAAACAUUCCAAGUCUCAUAAUUUAAGAAAUAUUUUUUUACGUCACAGAGGAAAACGAAGAAUGAUGAUGAAUAGAGACGGAGAGAAUAAACAGCAAUUCGAAGAUAUGGAGAGAAAAUAGAUUUCAGAAAGGGGAUGAAGGAAGAAGGAUAAACCAGAA